rnacentral:rRNA from 1 species
GCGAACAGGAUUAGAUACCCUGGUAGUCCACGCUGUAAACGUUGGGCGCUAGGUGUGGGGUCCUUCCACGGAUUCUGUGCCGCAGCUAACGCAUUAAGCGCCCCGCCUGGGGAGUACGGCCGCAAGGCUAAAACUCAAAGGAAUUGACGGGGACCCGCACAAGCGGUGGAGCAUGUGGUUUAAUUCGAAGCAACGCGAAGAACCUUACCAAAUCUUGACAUCCUUUGACAACUCUAGAGAUAGAGCCUUCCCCUUCGGGGGACAAAGUGACAGGUGGUGCAUGGUUGUCGUCAGCUCGUGUCGUGAGAUGUUGGGUUAAGUCCCGCAACGAGCGCAACCCUUAAGCUUAGUUGCCAUCAUUAAGUUGGGCACUCUAAGUUGACUGCCGGUGACAAACCGGAGGAAGGUGGGGAUGACGUCAAAUCAUCAUGCCCCUUAUGAUUUGGGCUACACACGUGCUACAAUGGACAAUACAAAGGGCAGCGAAACCGCGAGGUCAAGCAAAUCCCAUAAAGUUGUUCUCAGUUCGGAUUGUAGUCUGCAACUCGACUACAUGAAGCUGGAAUCGCUAGUAAUCGUAGAUCAGCAUGCUACGGUGAAUACGUUCCCGGGUCUUGUACACACCGCCCGUCACACCACGAGAGUUUGUAACACCCGAAGCCGGUGGAGUAACCUUUUAGGAGCUAGCCGUCGAAGGUGGGACAAAUGAUUGGGGUGAAGUCGUAACAAGGUAGCCGUAUCGGAAGGUGCGGCUGGAUCACCUCCUUUCUAAGGA